CAGGCUUUAGGGAGAAGAACCAGACCUCAGCAGGCAGAUUAAAAACGUGAGUCCCGACGCUGAGGUAGAUGCACGGGGCUAUGAUGCCGGGCAAACUGCUGUCGCCGGGAGGCGAGGCUUCAAACCGCGCAAAACCGAUCCCCGAGUGGAAGAUCGACGACAAGCCAGUAAAAAUUGACAAAUGGGACGGGUCGGCCGUGAAAAAUUCCUUGGACGAUUCUGCCAAAAAGGUCCUCCUGGAGAAGUACAAAUACGUCGAAAACUUCCGUCUGAUCGACGGCCGCCUCAUCAUCUGCACCAUCUCGUGUCUCUUCGCGAUCGUAGCCCUCAUCUGGGAUUACCUGCACCCCUUCCCUGAAUCCAAGCCGGUCCUUGCGUUUUGUGUCGUAUCAUAUCCUUUACCUGCCUUGUCCCAUCUAGAAUCCCAGAAUAUCCCAAGCUGGAAGGGACCCCUGAGAAUUAUCGAGUCCGACUCCAAAUUCGAGUCCCAUCCAAAGCAGGUUCCCUCAAGGGUGUCUGGGUGGUUGUCAUCUGAUGGUCACGCGCUUAAAUUCGGGUGAUCUGUGUGCGAUGGGGAUGCAAACUGCCCGUAGAGCAGAGGCCGGGCAGCAAUUCAGCUCGCUCCGAAGCCCACAGCAGCCUCCUGGGCAGCUGAAUCGCCCCCCUGGCUGCGCUGACCCCCGUUUCCGAAAUCUGACAGCUGUGCAGACGUUCCUCAGCUUAGGGGUGUUAAUCCCAAACUGGAAAUCAGCCCUUAAAAGCUUCAGGGUUUUGUUUUGUGUGGGUUUUUUUGGUUUUUUUUUUUUUAGUUCUAUCUGUAGUGUGGCUACGGAAACCUCUGUCCUCCCCUAGUACAACAGCUCGGCUACUGCGAGUGGAAAGUGGAGCGGGGGUAAUUCUUGCCAGCGCCUCUGUCGGAGAGGAGCAGUUCCUCCAGGAAGACCGACGUCUGUGGAGGUUUUACAACGCAAGCGGACGUGACAGAGGAUUGACGACACGAACGGACGUGCCAGACGAGCAGUGCUGGCCCAGAGCUGCCCACGGGCCUGCUCCCAAGGGCAGCUUUGGUAUCGGUGAGGCAGCACGAGCUGGCAGCCUGGAAGCUUGUUGCUGACCUGGGAGCCGCUGUGUCACUAGCUGGGCAAGUCCCGUCCUUGUUGUAGGCUGUUUUUUUUUCUGUUUGGCACUCGGCAUGAACUCCGGGAUAGUUCGUCUCGCAGCGUUUGGGGUGAUUUACUUCCAAAAAUGAGAGAAAUUGCUUGGUCCGUGCUCAACAGAAAUAGCGCUUAUUCUGUGGCUCGCACUUUCCCACCAUCUCCUGCAGGUGUUGCUCCAAAUAAUUAGCAAAGUGAUGGAAAAGAGUAUUUCAUCGUUGUGAUUUCUGCUUUACUUAAUGGUUUCACAAAGCAUUUUGUGCAGCUGGCCCAGAAAUGUUGUUCUUGAAAGCACGUAGCGGGUUCUCGCUUCCCCCACUGCUUCCAGCCACCCGUUAGUGCUCUUGUGCCAGUGCAAAGAUCCUAGGAAAGUGCCCCAAUUAUUAUUUAGCUUCCCGUGCUCGUGGGACGUCAGCCAAACAGCUGGCUGGGAAUGAUAACGCCACGAGAGGUGGCUGAAAGGCGCUGUCUCAGGGGAGCCCAGCUCCUUCUUUGCCUAUCUUCAGUGCCUCAAUUCCCUUCUUUGCCUAUCUUCAGUGCCUCAAUUCCCUUAACCUUUCCGAACAUAUUUUGUGAUGAUGGGAAUCCUGACCAUCUACACCUCCUACAAAGAGAAGAGUAUUUUCCUGGUAGCUCACAGAAAAGACCCAGCAGGGAUGGACCCCGAUGACG